ACGGUUAGGUCAGUUGGUAGAGCGCUCCCCUGGGAAUGGAGAGGUCCCUGGAUCGAUACCAGGAUCAGGGGUA
rnacentral:tRNA from 1 species